UACAGAGGUGGCAAGCGUUGUUCGGAAUUACUGGGCGUAAAGGGCGCGUAGGCGGCCUUCUAAGUCAGACGUGAAAUCCCCCGGCUUAACCUGGGAACUGCGUCUGAUACUGGGAGGCUUGAGUUUGGGAGAGGGAUGCAGAAUUCCAGGUGUAGCGGUGAAAUGCGUAGAUAUCUGGAGGAAUACCGGUGGCGAAGGCGGCAUCCUGGACCAACACUGACGCUGAGGCGCGAAAGCUAGGGGAGCAAACGGG
rnacentral:rRNA from 1 species